UACGUAGGGGGCGAGCGUUAUCCGGAAUCAUUGGGCGUAAAGGGUGCGUAGGUGGCGGCCUAAGCGCAGGGUUUAAGGCUACAGCUUAACUGUAGUUCGCCUUGCGAACUGGGCCACUUGAGUGCAGGAGAGGAAAGCGGAAUUCCUAGUGUAGCGGUGAAAUGCGUAGAUAUUAGGAGGAACACCAGUGGCGAAGGCGGCUUUCUGGACUGUAACUGACACUGAGGCACGAAAGCGUGGGGAGCAAACAGGAUUAGAUACCCCGGUAGUCCCUGAG
rnacentral:rRNA from 1 species